UUAAAUCAACAAAAAAGUCAAUUAACCUGUUACAGACGGCUGUAAUCUGUUAUCGACAACGACAGCAAGAACAAACGACAAACUCUGACUAAUGAGGUCCUAUAUAGCAAAUAGCAUGUCCGAAACAAAUGAAGUAAAAGAUUUCU